rnacentral:rRNA from 1 species
CUGCAGCCCGAGUGGUGAUCGAUUUUAUUGAGCCUAAAGCGUCCGUAGCCGGUCUAGUAAACCCUUGGGUAAAUUGGGCAGCUUAACUGUCCAAAUUCCGAGGGGACUGCUAGACUUGGGACCGGGAGAGGUCAGAGGUACUCCAGGGGUAGGGGCUAAAUCCUGUAAUCCUUGGGGGACCACCAGUGGCGAAGGCGUCUGACUAGAACGGAUUCGACGGUAAGGGACGAAACCCUGGGGCGCAAACCGGAUUAGAUACCCGAGUAGUCC